GGCUCUAUGGUGUAAUGGAUAACAUAACAGAUUCCGGUUCUGUUGAUUGGGGUUCGAAUCCCUAUAGAGUCA
rnacentral:tRNA from 1 species